GUAUAUCUCUCCCUCCCUCUCUUUCUAUUAUAGUCUCUCCUAUAUGUUAGGAAGGUUUGAGUCUCUUCAUUAUCUUCUCUUUGAUGUCCUCCUCUUAAUUAAAUGAAUGAGAGCUGACAUCCUCCGGAAAGGAACAGUAUUGGUCCUCUAGUAUCUCUUGUAUUGAAGAACCAGGAGACCACAUGUGACGGCCAACCUCUCCCUCGUCCCUCAAGAUCCCCUCGUGACCAUACAAGUAAGGAUGAGGAGUGGGUGGAGUGAGGGGAGGUGUGGUGAGAAAGGAAGUUGUAAUGAUGAAAGCUAUCCUACCUCCUGAAUUCAAUGUUUGAGACGGACUCUUGUGUCAAAGGGCACCAUGUCUACAAAUCAGUGUGGACACCAGUGAUGGGGAAGAUCAUCAUCUUUGACCUAGGCAGUAUGCUUAAAAUAGCAAUACAGAGUAACAGAGACGUCAGCUUGACCGAGAACACGUCUUGACACGAGGGCACAUUUAUUAGUAAGGCAUGGUUAACCAUGCCUCUAAAUUAAUAUUAAUUUUCAGGGGUUUAAUUUUUCGUGAUGCAAACAGUGAUCACGAAAAUUCGAAAAUUUAUUCCUCACGAAAUUUUUUGGCUA